rnacentral:rRNA from 1 species
AGUGAACGCUGGCGGUAGGCCUAACACAUGCAAGUCGAACGGCAGCACAGUAAGAGCUUGCUCUUACGGGUGGCGAGUGGCGGACGGGUGAGGAAUACAUCGGAAUCUACUUUUUCGUGGGGGAUAACGUAGGGAAACUUACGCUAAUACCGCAUACGACCUACGGGGGAAAGCAGGGGAUCUUCGGACCUUGCGCGAUUGAAUGAGCCGAUGUCGGAUUAGCUAGUUGGCGGGGUAAAGGCCCACCAAGGCGACGAUCCGUAGCUGGUCUGAGAGGAUGAUCAGCCACACUGGAACUGAGACACGGUCCAGACUCCUACGGGAGGCAGCAGUGGGGAAUAUUGGACAAUGGGCGCAAGCCUGAUCCAGCCAUACCGCGUGGGUGAAGAAGGCCUUCGGGUUGUAAAGCCCUUUUGUUGGGAAAGAAAAGCAGCAGGUUAAUACCACGCUGUUCUGACGGUACCCAAAGAAUAAGCACCGGCUAACUUCGUG